AAUGCAGCAGAAAGUCUCUGAAACCCUUCGAGCGUUACAAUGAGGACCCUAAGCUUUUACCUUACCUUCAUCCUUCAGUCGUCUUUGACCCCAAAGCCUUAUGUUGCAGGAGUGGACUGGGAAACUCAGAAUGUGGCAUUUGAGUCCAAUACAACUGAUAGGUACAUACUGCCACCAACUGAAAAGACUCCCCAGGAUCUUGUCUCCUCACUAACAUACUCAGAUACUGCAUUAUCCAGUGCUGAUUUACAUGAG